CAAAACUGUGCGGGAGGGGGCUUGUUUUUAGCAGUCAGCAAGGUCGUUCUUUGUGUCAAAAAUUAAGCUUGUGACGAAUAUUCAAGUUUUUAUUAUUUACAUCUGGUGAUUGACUGUUUGUGCGUGGUAACAAAGGUCGUAGUGCGCGUAUGACGGUAAUAAUAAUUAGUUUUUAAAAACUCGUAAUUACGAACGUUCCAAUGAGUUUGGGAGGAGGUAAUAGCACAGAGGGAUCAAAUGCAGGAGGAAUUUUCGUACAAUUUAACCAGGAUUGCACCUCACUAGUAGCUGGUAGCAGUAGCGGUUACCACUUGUUUGCGCUUACCCCGGACGAUGGCGUCGAGGAAAUAUACGCGAGCCGCUCCGGCCAGGAGACUUGUCUUGUUGACCGACUGUUCAGCAGUUCGCUGGUGGCCAUCGUCACAGUUUCAGCUCCCAGGAAGUUGAUCGUGUGCCAUUACAAGAAAGGGACGGAGAUAUGCAACUACAGCUACAGCAAUACAAUCUUGGCUGUAAAACUUAAUCGUUCUAGACUGAUAGUGUGCCUCGAGGAGUCCCUGCACAUCCACAACAUACGCGACAUGAAGAUACUGCACACGAUCCGAGACACGCCGCCCAACCCGCGCGGGCUGUGCGCGCUGUCGCCGUGCGUCGACCACUGCUAUGUGGCGUACCCUGGCUCCAGCGCGGUCGGCGAGGUGCAGAUCUUCGACGCCGUGCAUUUGAACGCGAAGUGCGUGAUAAGCGCGCACGACAGCCCGCUGGCGGCGCUCGCGUGGUCCAUGUGCGGGCGGCGGCUGGCCACCGCGUCGGAGCGCGGCACCGUGAUCCGCGUGUUCGCCGUGCCCGAGCGCACGCGCCUGUACGAGUUCCGGCGCGGCGUCAAGCGCUGCGUGUCCAUCGCGUGCCUGGCGUUCAGCGCGUGCGGCGCCUACCUCGCGGCCACGUCCAACACGGAGACCGUGCACGUGUUCCGGCUGCAGGAGGGCGGCGAGCGCGCGCCCGACGACGCCGCCGCGCCGCCCGAGCCCGGCUGGGUGGACUGGAUGUCGCAGACGCUGUCCGCCGGCCUCGUGUACCUGCCCGCGCAGGUCAGCGACGUGCUCAGCCAGGGCCGCGCCUUCGCCUCCGCCAAGCUGCCGCGGGCCGGCUGCCGGGCCGUCGCCGCCGUCACUAACGUGUCCCGCGCGGCGCGGCUGCUGGUGGCGACGUCGGAGGGCGUGCUGUACGUGUACGCGCUGGACGCGGCCGACGGCGGCGACUGCGCGCUGCUGCGCUCGCACCCGCUGCUCGACUGCGCGCCGCCCGCCUGCGACGGGCGGCCAGGCGCGUGCGUGCGGAGGCUGACGAGUUGUGACGUGCCCGCAGUCGCGGCCGGCUGCAGUUACGCGGGCGCGCUCCGCGGCCGACACCCGGACCACAUGACAGACGCGGCGCGGCGGGCGGCCGGCGACGCGUAGCGACGGUAAGUGGCGCCGCGCUCGGCACUCGCCCUUGGAUAGGCGCCCAUUAGAAUCGGAGCGCGAGCACGAGCUCGGCGCGGCGCUGGCGGGCUCGCCGCCGCGCGGCGCGUACGACAUCCGCGACCCGCGCCACUUCCCGCCCAUGCGCGCGCCCGACGCCGCCGCCGACUAGACGCGUACGCAUCUAGCCCGUAGCCUGCAGCGUCUAGACUCUAAGCCUCUAGCGCGGACACUGACGAUCACUUAUUAUCACUUCAUUUGUAUUGUUUUUAGGGUCUUAGAGCCGGUUCACGACGAUCUGUUUGGCUCAUUGGUCAGAUGAAUGUCAAAAAAAAUGUAUGAAAAGUAAAAAAUAGGUCGUGAAACUGGUUCGCAAUCUUCAAUGUCACUAGACUAUAUUAAACGUUUUUCAGUCUUUAUGAAACCGAAAUGGACUAUUGUAAACAUAUAUUAUAUGAUAUUUGAUGUGACAAAUCAGUUAAAGGGUGUUCUGUUUAUCCUAAAAAUUUUAUUAAGUGCGAUGGGUAAAUACGGAUAGUAAAAUAAAUUUGUAGCUGAUUGUUGUAAUAAAUAUGGAUGCUUUUAUAUUCUACCGUAUAUAUGAUUUGUUCAUACGAUUCUCAUUAUGAAUAAAUGUGAAUUAUAAUGGAAAAUCUAAAUUAAGGAAUGGAGUCAUGUUAUUGUUAAACUAAGAAAUUAAAAAAAAAAACUGAUUUUCAACUUUUGAAUCGUUGUUUAAACUGAUCCUUUGUUUCUAAGCUAAAAUUAUUGAAAGUCUCAUAGUCAACAUGCUUGCUACAUUAUAGUAAAAUUAUGAGAGGGACAUGUAACUUAUAUUAUAAUCAAAAAUUCUUAAAAUCGACUUCUAGGAUGGAUAACCAUAUCAGUAAAAUAUUUCUUCUUUACCUUUAUAAUAUAUGUUCUAAUAGUACUUCGUACGAAAACUGUAAUCGAAAUCUGAAUGUACAUCUACGCAUCAUAUACGGCAGUAUAAAUGUUUUUACUUCAGAAAAAAAAGACACAGUACAGAAAUACUCUAAAAGAAGUAUUUCUGUUAAUAUAAGAAUUCUGCCAUGUAGUUGUGCGAAACAUCAAAAUUUUACAUUUCAAUCCAAAUUCAAAUUUGUUUUUUUUUAUUUGUAUGAAUCAAAUUAUCGUCAGUGAGUGAUGUUCUGGAGACGUGGUGUGUACUUGUGACUGCCUCCGCCGACUGUUCAUCAUUCGGUGUCUGAGCCUUAUCAUUAUGUGAUAUUUAUUAUUAUUAUUAUUAUCUCAUGUUUGUACCACUUUAUUCAAUGAUGUAGAAUUUUCCCAAAAAUAUAUAUCAUAUUGACGGAGACAUUUUCCACUUUUUAUUAUUUUAUAUAUACUUUUAAAUUUUAGUCUUAGCAAAAUAACUUGUGGAAAAUGUUGCAAUGUGACGAAUUUUCGAAGAAGUAACGAUUAUAUAUUUAGUGUAAAGUUAAUUUAAUUUUUGUUUAUAAUAAUAAUGUAUAUCAAUUGAUUAAUGCAAUGAUGAACAGUGGCGCCCUCGUAAUUUAAAUUUUAAUUCAAAAACGUUUCUCUUGACUUGCAUUAGAAGAAAAAUAACAAAAAAAAACCUAUAUUUUAGAACGGUUUACUAUACCCAUAUGUAUGAUAUUUAUGUAACUAUGUAGUUUGGCUCCGAAUAUACGUAUGUAUGUCGAAAUGUACAUAGGAGUAAGUAAUUUUUAAAUUUUUAGAUGUAAUUCGACGAUCUGAGCUCAUUGAACAUUUUAAUAUCGAGCGAAGUACGGGUUCAGCCUUGUAUAUAGAUUGUAAUUAUAUGAGCCGUGUAAUAUAUUUUUUAUCUUUAGACUAUGCAAUGUGAUAACGUUAAUACUUUGUAUGGCUAUUUGUGUGAUCAUAGAGUUAGGGAUGAUUGGUAAAGUUCGACACACGUCGCGUCCGCGAAAAAAAUGAAAAAAAUUGUAUAUAAAAAGGCGGACGCGGGUUAAAUCAUAGUUGUAAUGCACCGUGCAUGAGGCUUUACGGAAAUUGUAUCGUACAAUCUGUUUACUUCUAGAGAUAAUGUGAAUGAGAUAAAAUACAUGAAAAAUAUGAUAAAAAUAGUGAAGUACAGGUAAAGCCGUUUGGGCAGUAGAUUUAUGUUUUCGUUCGUCGCAACCAACUCAUGAAUGGACGAGCAUUGUGGCGUGGGACAUUCAUAUCUUAAUAUUAAAGAUAAUAAUUGUGUAAGUGUACAAAAAAAAAAUAAUAAAAAAUAUAAUCAAUUUACUUUUGUCGGAUAAAAAUUAGAGCGUACGCACAAUAUGCGUAUUCACGUGCAAUUUUUAAAACAUUCUGUGUAUUAGAAAGGAUUAUAAAUUAAUAAUUGCGCUCUCAGCCGUUUGUUCCGCGUUCGCUUCGACAGCACUGUCUAUGUCCCGUUCGCUGCUUAGAUACAAAAUUGUACAUAUUAAAUAAAUAUUUUUACAAAACACCA